GCGCGUUUUCCAAAAUGUCCUCCAAGACCGUGAUUCAGAUGGGAAAUACAAUUUAAGGUUCUUCUUCCAUGUGAUGACAUCAUGUCUGCAAUGAGACCUCAAAGAAAGAAUUUCAAGAACUUUAGGCGAUAAGUGGGACAGAUCUGUUUCUAAAACAGGAUGAAGAAAAAGGUUUGAUGAAACUACAGAAGAUGGCAGUUUUGGAAGGCUUGUAAAUGACUCCACACACCCCAAUUGCAAAGUGCAGUGCUUUGAGGAGGAGGGUCUACCAAGCUUGUAUGUUGUUGCCCUCCGUGACAUUCUGCCACUGGACAGACGCUACAGGUGACUGUGCCAGUGUCAUCUCUCGUGCACAGAAGAAGUUGUGUAUAAUU